UAGAUAAAGGUAAAACAUUGAAUUAUGC
rnacentral:sRNA from 1 species